AUUUGCCCUUCAAGGGAUGGAAGGGCAUCCUGCUAUCCUGCAUAUGGGUGAACACAUCCCUGCUCAUGGGAAGUGUGAGUGAAUGAGUUGCUGUUUGGGGCCUGAUUGCCAGCUGGAGUUAGACCAUGACAAGGCUUCUGUUACAUAUCUAUUCAUAAGAGCUGUCUGCCUGUGAUAUUCAUAAGGAUUCACUUUAAUCUCCAAAUUGGAACAGCAUUAAGAAGGAAUGCCCACUGCUUAGCUUAUCUUAAACUCCAGUACAUAUGAAUACUAUAAAGCCAUAACCUGUGAAGUGGAUUGCUCAAUACAUUAUUCAUUCCCUUCUCUAGAAAGUGUCGUCACAAAAGUAAGUUAAAUUUCAGAAAAAUAAACUAAGUAUGUUGCAACAAUGGUGCAUACAUUUCAAUAGUAUUUUAUUUUUUAUUUCUAGCUAAGCAGAAAACCAAACUGAGCAUCUACUCAU